AAAUUUUGCAGCUCAACUGUAAAAGUGCCUUCGAAACUGGUUUUCUUGAGUGUGGAUGAAGUAGGCGGAAUUUGUGGUGUAGCGGUGAAAUGCAUAGAUAUCACGAGGAACUCCGAUUGCGAAGGCAGCUUACUAAGCCAUAACUGACGCUCAUGCACGAAGGCGUGGGGAUCAAACAGGAUUAGAUACCCUGGUAGUCCACGCAGUAAACGAUGAUUACUAGCUGUUUGCGAUAUACAGUAAGCGGCUGAGCGAAAGCGUUAAGUAAUCCACCUGGGGAGUACGUUCGCAAGAAUGAAACUCAAAGGAAUUGACGGGGGCCCGCACAAGCGGAGGAACAUGUGGUUUAAUUCGAUGAUACGCGAGGAACCUUACCCGGGCUUGAAAUGCAUCUGACAGGAGCAGAGACGCUCUCUCCCUUCGGGGCAGAUGUGUAGGUGCUGCAUGGUUGUCGUCAGCUCGUGCCGUGAGGUGUCGGCUUAAGUGCCAUAACGAGCGCAACCCUCAUCAUUAGUUACCAUCAGGUCAAGCUGGGGACUCUAAUGAGACUGCCAUCGUAAGAUGCGAGGAAGGUGGGGAUGACGUCAAAUCAGCACGGCCCUUACGUCCGGGGCGACACACGUGUUACAAUGGGUGGUACAAAGGGCAGCUACAUGGCGACAUGAUGCUAAUCUCCAAAACCACUCUCAGUUCGGAUCGGAGUCUGCAACUCGACUCCGUGAAGCUGGAUUCGCUAGUAAUCGCGCAUCAGCCACGGCGCGGUGAAUACGUUCCCGGGUCUUGUACACACCGCCCGUCACACCACGAGAGUUUGUAACACCCGAAGUCGGUGAGGUAACCUUUAUGGAGCCAGCCGCCUAAGGUGGGACAGAUGAUUGGGGUGAAGUCGUAACAAGGUAACCGUAAUCACUAGUGCGGCCGCCUGCAGGUCGACCAUAUGGGAGAGCUCCCAACGCGUUGGAUGCAUAGCUUGAGUAUUCUA
rnacentral:rRNA from 1 species